rnacentral:rRNA from 1 species
GAGGAAUAUUGGUCAAUGGACGAGAGUCUGAACCAGCCAAGUAGCGUGAAGGAUGACUGCCCUAUGGGUUGUAAACUUCUUUUAUACGGGAAUAAAGUUAGCCACGUGUGGCUUUUUGUAUGUACCGUAUGAAUAAGGAUCGGCUAACUCCGUGCCAGCAGCCGCGGUAAUACGGAGGAUCCGAGCGUUAUCCGGAUUUAUUGGGUUUAAAGGGAGCGUAGGCGGGUUGUUAAGUCAGUUGUGAAAGUUUGCGGCUCAACCGUAAAAUUGCAGUUGAUACUGGCGACCUUGAGUGUAACAGAGGUAGGCGGAAUUCGUGGUGUAGCGGUGAAAUGCUUAGAUAUCACGAAGAACUCCGAUUGCGAAGGCAGCUUACUGGAUUGUAACUGACGCUGAUGCUCGAAAGUGUGGGUAUCAAACAGGAUUAGAUACCCUGGUAGUCCACACAGUAAACGAUGAAUACUCGCUGUUGGCGAUAUACGGUCAGCGGCCAAGCGAAAGCAUUAAGUAUUCCACCUGGGGAGUACGCCGGCAACGGUGAAACUCAAAGGAAUUGACGGGGGCCCGCACAAGCGGAGGAACAUGUGGUUUAAUUCGAUGAUACGCGAGGAACCUUACCCGGGCUUAAAUUGCAACUGACUGAACCGGAAACGGUUCUUUCUUCGGACAGUUGUGAAGGUGCUGCAUGGUUGUCGUCAGCUCGUGCCGUGAGGUGUCGGCUUAAGUGCCAUAACGAGCGCAACCCUUAUCGAUAGUUACUAGCAGGUCAUGCUGAGGACUCUAUUGAGACUGCCGUCGUAAGAUGUGAGGAAGGUGGGGAUGACGUCAAAUCAGCACGGCCCUUACGUCCGGGGCUACACACGUGUUACAAUGGGGGGUACAGAAGGCAGCUACACGGCGACGUGGUGCUAAUCCCGAAAGCCUCUCUCAGUUCGGAUUGGAGUCUGCAACCCGACUCCAUGAAGCUGGAUUCGCUAGUAAUCGCGCAUCAGCCACGGCGCGGUGAAUACGUUCCCG